UACGUAGGGUGCGAGCGUUAAUCGGAAUUACUGGGCGUGAAGCGUGCGCAGGCGGUUCGUUGUGUCGGCGGUGAAAGCCCCGGGCUAACCUGGGAAUGGCCGUUGAAACUGGCGAACUGGAGUGUGGCAGAGGGGGGGUGGAAUUCCGCGUGUAGCAGUGAAAUGCGUAGAGAUGCGGAGGAACACCGAUGGCGAAGGCAGCCCCCUGGGCUAACACUGACGCUCAGGCACGAAAGCGUGGGGAGCAAACAGG
rnacentral:rRNA from 1 species